GGUGAUGUAACUCAGAUGGUAGAGCGCUCGCUUAGCAUGCGAGGGAUACUGGGAUCGAUACCCCGCAUCUCCA
rfam:Picea glauca, whole genome shotgun sequence.